UACGUAGGGGACAAGCGUUGUCCGGAUUUACUGGGCGUAAAGAGCGCGCAGGCGGUCGAUCAAGUCGGGUGUGAAAGCCCCCGGCUCAACUGGGGAGGGUCAUUCGAUACUGAUCGACUCGAAGGCAGGAGAGGGUAGUGGAAUUCCCGGUGUAGUGGUGAAAUGCGUAGAUAUCGGGAGGAACACCAGUGGCGAAGGCGACUACCUGGCCUGUUCUUGACGCUGAGGCGCGAAAGCUAGGGGAGCAAACGGG
rnacentral:rRNA from 1 species